rnacentral:rRNA from 1 species
AUUGGACGCUGGCGGCAGGCCUAACACAUGCAAGUCGAGCGGAUGAAGGGAGCUUGCUCCUGGAUUCAGCGGCGGACGGGUGAGUAAUGCCUAGGAAUCUGCCUGGUAGUGGGGGAUAACGUCCGGAAACGGGCGCUAAUACCGCAUACGUCCUGAGGGAGAAAGUGGGGGAUCUUCGGACCUCACGCUAUCAGAUGAACCUAGGUCGGAUUAGCUAGUUGGUGGGGUAAAGGCCUACCAAGGCGACGAUCCGUAACUGGUCUGAGAGGAUGAUCAGUCACACUGGAACUGAGACACGGUCCAGACUCCUACGGGAGGCAGCAGUGGGGAAUAUUGGACAAUGGGCGAAAGCCUGAUCCAGCCAUGCCGCGUGUGUGAAGAAGGUCUUCGGAUUGUAAAGCACUUUAAGUUGGGAGGAAGGGCAGUAAGUUAAUACCUUGCUGUUUUGACGUUACCAACAGAAUAAGCACCGGCUAACUUCGUG